ensembl:lncRNA
GCGUCUAGGAAGAGGAGCACCCCUUUGAUUUUGUCUUCAAAAUGGGGCCUAGCAGGGGCCUGGAUGCUGCGCAUGAAAGAAACCAGAAUGGAGGGAAGAGCUGUCGCACAUUCAACUAGCAGCAAGGACAGGUCAUCCUAAAAUGGACAGAGUACCAACUGCUGCUUAGCUCUGAAUCUACUGCCUUGGUCCCCAACCUUCCUGGUGGACUCAACACAAGACAUGAAGUCACAGUUCAUGCUGACUCUUCCUGGAGGCCAGUGAAGAAGAGGACUCAGGUUCUAGCCAGGCUGCAGCAUGAGAUCAACUGUGGGAAGCCUCAGAAGAUGCUGGAGGGAGAGAUCCUGGACAGGGAGAACAGCUUCCAGCGUGAACCUCCUUCAUGAGACAUGGAAGAUUCUCUUGGCCAGUGAGGAGUUAGAAUCUUGUAUCUGGAUGCGAAUAUCCUUACAAAGUGCAAUGCCUAGAAGAUGAUGUAACGUCCCCAAAGAAACCCUCACCAAGCUGGCAAAUCCACUCCCACCAAAAUGUCUCUCAAAACCAGAAGGAUAAAUUUGCAAAAAAAAAAAAUUUAAAAAAAGCUUCAACAAGACAGAACAGUUUUACUUAGACACUCGAAAGCACAGAGGAGUCC